GCACAAUCCUUCAGUGGAGCAUGUGUGGCCCCACUAAAGAAAGAGGCGUGGUGGGUCAGGGUUCCUUUUCAUUACCUAGCUAGUGACCAAAUGUUAAAACAGGAAGAUGACCGCAGAUGGGGACUGCAGCCAAGAAAUUAAAAGACGCUUGCUCCUGGGGAGGAAAGCUAUGGCAAAUCUAGACAGCGUACUAAAAAGCAGAGACAUCAACCUGCCAACAAAAGUGUGUAUAGUCAAAGCUAUGGUUUUCCCAGUUGCAAUGUAUGGCUGUGAAGGUUGGACCAUAAGAAAGGCUGAGCGCCAAAGAAUUGAGACCUUUGAACUCUGGUGCUGGAGAAGACUCCUGCGAGUCCCUUGGACUGCAAGGCGAACAAACAAGUCAGUCCUAGAGGAUCAGGAUCAACCCUGACUGCUCUUUAGAAGGCCAGAUCCUGAAGAUGAAACUGAAAUACUUUGGCCAUCUAAUGAGAAAGAAGGACUCACUGGAGAAGAGCCUAAUGCUGGGAAAGAUUGAGGGCAAAAGAAGAACGGGACGACAGAGAAUGAAGUGGCUGGCUGGAGUCACUGAAGCAGUAGGCAUGAGUUUAAAUGGACUCCAGAGGAUGGUAGAGGACAGGAAGGCCUGGAAGAAUGUUGUCCAUGGGGCCGCGAUGGGUCGGACACGACUUCGCAACUAACAACAAAUUAUGGUAUUCUCUGUCCAGAGGUAUGGACAUGGUGAACUUUUAACAGACAAAAGAGAAAUGAAUUUUGCCCUACAAAGCGGUACUGGAAUAUUAUGUACAAACACUGAAAUGUUGUACCAACGUUCUACAAAACAUUGGAUUAUUUCUUAUCAACUCAACAGACAAGAUUAUAGUCAUACUGGCUUGAGAAGAACAGAUAUUUUAGCCUAAAACUUUUACAAGACACUAUAAUAACUAAGUGACAACAGUCAAUCAUUUCUGAUCUCAGAAAAA